rnacentral:misc_RNA from 1 species
UCUCCGUUGGUGAACCAGCGGAGGGAUCAUUACCGAGUUUACAACUCCCAAACCCAAUGUGAACCAUACCAAACUGUUGCCUCGGCGGGGUCACGCCCCGGGUGCGUCGCAGCCCCGGAACCAGGCGCCCGCCGGAGGGACCAACCAAACUCUUUCUGUAGUCCCCUCGCGGACGUUAUUUUUACAGCACUGAGCAAAAAUUCAAAAUGAAUCAAAACUUUCAACAACGGAUCUCUUGGUUCUG